UACGGGGGGGGCAAGCGUUGUUCGGAAUUACUGGGCGUAAAGGGCUCGUAGGUGGCCAACUCAGUCAGACGUGAAAUCCCUCGGCUUAACCGGGGAACUGCGUCUGAUACUGGAUGGCUUGAGGUUGGGAGAGGGAUGCGGAAUUCCAGGUGUAGCGGUGAAAUGCGUAGAUAUCUGGAGGAACACCGGUGGCGAAGGCGGCAUUCUGGACCGAUAUUGACGCUGAUGAGCGAAAGCCAGGGGAGCAAACGGG
rnacentral:rRNA from 1 species